rnacentral:rRNA from 1 species
UCGAGCGAACGGACGAGAAGCUUGCUUCUCUGACGUUAGCGGCGGACGGGUGAGUAACACGUGGAUAACCUACCUAUAAGACUGGGAUAACUUCGGGAAACCGGAGCUAAUACCGGAUAAUAUUUUGAACCGCAUGGUUCAAAAGUGAAAGACGGUCUUGCUGUCACUUAUAGAUGGAUCCGCGCUGCAUUAGCUAGUUGGUAAGGUAACGGCUUACCAAGGCAACGAUGCAUAGCCGACCUGAGAGGGUGAUCGGCCACACUGGAACUGAGACACGGUCCAGACUCCUACGGGAGGCAGCAGUAGGGAAUCUUCCGCAAUGGGCGAAAGCCUGACGGAGCAACGCCGCGUGAGUGAUGAAGGUCUUCGGAUCGUAAAACUCUGUUAUUAGGGAAGAACAUAUGUGUAAGUAACUGUGCACAUCUUGACGGUACCUAAUCAGAAAGCCACGGCUAACUACGUGCCAGCAGCCGCGGUAAUACGUAGGUGGCAAGCGUUAUCCGGAAUUAUUGGGCGUAAAGCGCGCGUAGGCGGUUUUUUAAGUCUGAUGUGAAAGCCCACGGCUCAACCGUGGAGGGUCAUUGGAAACUGGAAAACUUGAGUGCAGAAGAGGAAAGUGGAAUUCCAUGUGUAGCGGUGAAAUGCGCAGAGAUAUGGAGGAACACCAGUGGCGAAGGCGACUUUCUGGUCUG